AGGGUGUAAACGCUGCAGACUUGGUGUUGGGAACCCUUCGGGGGUGCUCAGUGCCGGAGAGAAGUUGUUAAGUCUGCUACUUGGGGAGUACGUCCGCAAGGAUGAAACUUAAAGGAAUUGGCGGGGGAGCACCGCAACGGGAGGAGCGUGCGGUUUAAUUGGAUUCAACGCCGAAAAACUCACCAGCAGCGACUGUUACAUGAAAGUCAGGUUGAUGACCUUACUAGAUUUUCAGAGAGGUGGUGCAUGGCGUAGACGUCU
rnacentral:rRNA from 1 species